rnacentral:piRNA from 1 species
UGAUGUCCCCAAGUGCCCCGCAAGGUC